rnacentral:rRNA from 1 species
UACGAAGGGGGCUAGCGUUGCUCGGAAUUACUGGGCGUAAAGAGCUCGUAGGCGGCUUGUCACGUCGGGUGUGAAAGCCCGGGGCUUAACCCCGGGUCUGCAUUCGAUACGGGCUAGCUAGAGUGUGGUAGGGGAGAUCGGAAUUCCUGGUGUAGCGGUGAAAUGCGCAGAUAUCAGGAGGAACACCGGUGGCGAAGGCGGAUCUCUGGGCCAUUACUGACGCUGAGGAGCGAAAGCGUGGGGAGCGAACAGG